CUUUGAGAGUGGGAACACCUGCCUGGUGCCUCUUGAAUGGAUGCUUCAAAUGUAAUCAAAAGGAAGUUCACAAGUCUCGCACGUGUCAGGUGCUAAACCAGCUUCCGAAGAGAGCUGAAGAGGAGACCAUCUGCUACAGGACCACUCCUAUGAUGCCAUCAUGAAGAUUCUGUGGGAGGAAGGAACCUGCAAAAUUAACCCUGAAAAUGGCGCGGAAAACCACAGUGCCUAGUCUAGGGAUGGCUUGCAUAGGAACCUUGCCAAAUGUCAGAUUCUCAGCGCAGUGACCUGGCCAUGGACUGCCAAGCAAUUAGACCUACAGACAGAAGGCCACCUAUGGAUCUCAGAAUGGUGAGGAAAGGAAUUAUA